AGCCUAGGGCGGUUCUAAAGCAAGCAGCGCGCGACUCCCACCAGCCACCCAGCCGGAAUAAACCCGAGAUCCCCGCGAACCUGGCGACACUGCACACGCCACAGCAUUUCCACCAGCUUACAAGUAGGUAGAAACACUCCGCUUCUGUAGGCCCAAACAGUCAGAUAUAGGCAAUUUCGGUUGGUUUCGGCUGGUUUCAACCCAAGAUCUGCACAGAAUAUAUGGGAAAUCCGUGGCCAGACAAGCACUCUUCUCUGCAGUACACUCUCUCGGUUAACCGUGAGAACGCUAGAUUUUUAUACAGUAAAAACAUUCUCCCUACUUCGUUCAAUAACUAUUUAUCGGGCGUCAACUACCUUAUUUCCUCAAUUGUAACUCACUUCCCCAUUUUCACCGCACCUUGUUUUAAACUCCCCCUUCUCCCUUCGAGAAGACUUCGCAGUGAGAGUAGUAAACACACAUAACCAUAUUAAACUCCUGCUUCAACCUUCAAAUUGAGAUUUUAUUCUCUUCCCACUCUAGGAAAGCCAACUUAAACGGCCUUAUUAAACAGAGUAGCUUGUUUUGUUUUUAAACAAGCAUUACCCUUGCCCCAAUAAAGUCCAGGGCCUCAGAUUUGCAUUGCGUCAGCUCAGGCAUUCAGAGGUUUAACCUGUCAUUACAUCAUGCUUAGGGCAGCCUUUAAAGGCAGCAAGAGCUGGUAGUGGGGAGUGAACCCUAUGCUGCAAAUUGUAGAUUGCCCAUUUUCAGCAUAAAAUCUUAACUCUAAUCACUUACCCACCCUAUAUAGUGUGUUCAGUCACCUCAACCUCAUUUUGAUAUUAGGAAUAGAAAUAUAAUUGAAAAUAGUCUGUUCACUGACAAAUAUAAAUUACUAUUACCUAGGUUUUUAUUUUCUAAUACAUAUUCAUUCUAUUCAACAGUUAAGUCUCAGGUUUCUACAGCAGGAGACUUAAAAUGUUUUAGGCAGGAAAAACUCCAAACAGAAUUAAGACAGAGUCUAAAUGUGUAAAACAAAUAAAAGGGAUGACAGAUUUCUCAAGCCAAAGAAAAAUUUUUUCCCAAACUUCCAAAGGACCUAUACAGAUCCUUACAACACUAUCUGAAAGCCAUUAAUAUAUGGACAAACCUCGCAACAAGUGAGUCAGGACAGUAAAAAUGUGAGUGUUCUGGAGCCAUCUACACUUGGAUUCAAACCCAGUCUUCACCACCCGCUCAGCUGUAAAACUGGGACAAUAUUUCCAGCCUUGCAUGGCUUUUGUCUGGAUUAAGGGAGACGGGUAAGUUAUAUAUAUCAUAGGUGGUACAUAUUCCAAAAUAUGUACGUACUCACAUAAUUCCAAAAGUUAACUUGUUUUGCCUGAGGUCAUCAAUUAGUUAGAGACAUAGAACUUGUGGGUUCCAGAUAUAUACUCUAGAAGAUGCCUUUAGCUUGUAAGGUUAUCAAAAAUGUAUACCAAAGAUCAACUGCCAUUUAACUAAUUUUUAGCACAAUACAGAAUUUCUCCACUAGGUAAAACAUUUAUUUAAACUGGUUUUACGAGGGAAAAUUUCACAAAAACUACAUUACACUAAGACAAGCCCACAGAAUCCAAAGUUAGCAAAAAUCCAAAAUUUACCAAGAGUGCACUAUUACCUACCCUUUCUAAAAUAAAGCCUACAUCUCAGGCCCCGUUUGGUAUAAAGUUUAAACAGAUUUUAAUUUAGAUAAAAACAUUUUAGAAUCAGCCUUUAAUGUUGCCUUAGUAAUUUCAGAGUAUUUAAUCGUUGCUUUGCCACAUUCACAAACUUAUGAUAGAAAUAGUCUUAAACUUUUAUUCUCAAUUUCAUGGGGGAAACUUUGUUUCCUAUUAUAAAUUAUAAAUGACUGAUGAAGAAUUUCUCUGAUUAAAAUGAAUACACAACAAUGUUGUGCUUUUCACUUUCUUGCCUUUUACUAAAGUUACUGCGGCCUGCAAAUAAUGGCCCCCCUCAAAGAUGUCCACAUCCUAAUGGUUUGUCUACCUCAGACGAAAUUAAAACUAAGGCAAGUCUCCUUAAAAUUCAACAGCUUAAAAUGCCAAAAGUUAAAAAUCAAACUUUGUUAUAAAACCAUAAUGCCAAGAAAAAAAUUAAGCAAUCUAUUUUUAGUUUCCAGAACUGCACCAAAGUAAUAGGAAUUUUAAAAAAUUAUACAAAGUAUUUUCCUAAAAGCUCUAUUUUCCUGAAGAUAAUUCAGAAGACGUUGUAGCCACAGAAUCAGAGUUAUGUGUCCAGUAAGAGGGAUGAUCUGAAGUGGGGAAAGCCCAGGACAAAAGACCUGAUAGAAGACCUGUAAAACCAGAAGUCUGAACAAAGGUGAUGACAGUAAACGGAGAGGAAAAUGCAAACCAUAACUUAAAUGUGUAAAGCAAAGUACAUUUGCUUUUUAAUGCCUAACACUGUAUUUUGAGGCUUCUACACCUGGUAAAAAAAAAAAACAUAUACUUAACCAAAACCCAUUAGGCACUAUGCUAGAUACCAAACUGUAAUAAUGGAUGAAAUGCAAAGUAGAAGUGAGAUGCCUGUGACACAUCUAAGAGAUGGAACUCUCAUACUCUGCUGGUGGGAAUGCAAAAUAGUAUCACCAUAUCCUGUCACUGAAGAAAGUCCUAUUGGAAAGCAUGAUUCUACAUCCUAAUUUUAUUUUACUAGCUAUUAUCCUUAUUAUUUUUAUUUCACAUUGAAUCUAUAUUAACAUCAAGAAUAAAAGUAUUAACAUCUCCCAAAACAAGGCAGGUCAUUUAAUGUGCUAAUAGUGAAACUUUCCCUUUCCCACCUGCCAGGAUAAAGACUGUACUAAACUUCAAAACUUUUGUCAAAACAAUCAUUUAAACCUAACUGCAAACAUUCUGAUUUCAUUUCUCACAACUAUAUCAUAAGACAAAUACCCAUCUUUUUCUUCCCCUUGAAUCCUUAAUUAUGAUUCAUUUUUUGGUAUGGCCAUAGUACCUCAAAAAAGUUUUCAGAAAGGGCAUGUAAGCAAUUAAGUCUCAGUCUUAACAAUCAAGCUCUUGCACAAGCUUAGAAUUCUAGUUCACACCCUUUACCCCUAGAACUACAUAAAUUCUGCUGUCUUCUGACAUGUAACUAUGUAGAUGAAAAAUCUAAUGUCAUUUUUAUUUUCAUUCAUUUGCAGGUAACCUUUUUUACCCUGACAGGUAGCUUCUAAGACUCUUAUCUUUGGAAGAAAUUUUCAUCAAAACAUCUAGAUACAUGCCAUCAGCACUUGCCAAACACAAGGUGAGUAUUUUCAAUCCCAAGACUCAAGUCUUUUACCUUUGUGGACCUUUCUUCUAAUUGUUCUUCGACUCUUACCAUUACUCAGUUCUUUUCUUCACAUAAUCCUGAUACUGACUCUCCUGGAUCUAUCUUCAAGUCACUUAUAUAUUUUUUUCUCAUAAUUCCAAUCUUUGUUUUGCACUGCAUUCCAAGAGAACUCAUUAAAUUCUAAUUCAUAAAUUUGGUUUUGCUAAAGUUACCUAUCUCUUGGUAUGCUAAAGAAUUUAAUUAUGUAGAUCCUCAAUUUCCAACAAGGGAACAGAGAGUUUGAUGGCAGGAACGGCUACUUCCCCUUCCUUUCCCUGAAGUUGGAAUGGCCACAUAAAUUCAUACUGCAUUGCUCUUGUACUUCCUUAACCCCUCUAUUAAAGUUUUCAUGUCCCUCAUUGGAGCUUCAUUGUUGGUUGGUUUCAUUCUUACUGCUAUAACCUAAAUGGUUCCAGGGUCAGCAAGUUAAAUACUGAGGCAGAGGAGGGACUUUCCUCCAUUCUCACUAAAACAGCUGCCCCAAAUAUUUAUUAAUAAGCAUACUUAUGUACCAGGUAUUGUCCUCAAUGAGCUUCCAGGUUAAGCAUUUACCCCCUGCAUUACAGACAGGAAAAUAGAUUUCAAAAUAAAUAUUUCAGAUCACAGAACUACUUUAAGAAAAAAGAAAAAAAAAGGAAGUUGGAGCUAUCUAUCGAGGAGGACUUAGAAGAGGUGACAAAUGGCAUCCUAAGCAAACAGACAUUAUGAAAAAUUUUAGACUUGGAAAAGAUCUUAACCAGCUCUCUCAUUUUCAGAAGAGAAAAAUGAUACAGAGAAGUUAACUUGCUAGAUGUCGUAUAAAGUAGGUCAGUGUUCUAAUCUGGGCAAUAUGUUAUAAUUUCCUAGAUCCUUUCAAAGCAGAUAUGCUCUGGAUAUUUUCUAAUUCAACUUGAAAAAUUAACCUUUUCUGAAUUUAAGUUUAAUAAGAUUCAACUGUCUUGCUUUCGCUCCUGACACAAGAGAGAUCCCAAUGUAGCCAGGAGAGAUUAAAAAAAAAAAAGAUGGGAGAUAAAACCUGAAAAAAUAAGAGUUACCUUACGUCAGCUCCUUAGAGGGGCCUUUCCUGAUCACUUUAUUUCUAAAGGCCAGAUCACCCUUCUUACUGUCUUCAUAUUAUCUCUUGCCAUAUGAAAUUCUCUUACUAAAUAACUUACUUAUUGUCUGUCUUCUGCCCGUCUCUCUCUCCACAAUACCAGCUUUUCACUGAUAACAGCAAUUCUCAAACUUUUUUGGUACCAGGAACCCUUUACACCAGUAACUGGCAAACUACAGCUACAGAUCACUUGCCUGUUUUUGAGCAAAAGGCAACACAAUGAAGAGAGUCUUCAACAAUUGGUGCUGGAACAGCUGAGUAUCCACAUGCAAAAAAAAAGGAAUCUAGACACAAAUCUUACACCUUUCACAAAAAUUAACUCAAAUGGAUCACAGAUCUAAACGUAAAAUACAAAACUAUAAAACUCCUAGAAGAUAACAACACAGGAGAAGAUCUAGAUGACCUUGGGUUUGGCAAUGACUUUUCAGAAACACCAAAGGCAUGAACCAGGAAAGAAUCAAUUGAUAAGCUGGACUUGAUUAAAAGUAAAAAUGUCUGCUCUGCAACAGUCAGGAGAAUGCGAAGACAAACCAAAGAUUGGGAGAAAAUGUUUGUAAAAGACAUAUCUGAUAAAGGACUAUAUUAUCCAAAAUACAGCACAGAACUCUUAAAACUCAACAAGAAAGCGAACAUGCCAAUUAAAAAACGGGCAAAAGACCUUAACAGACACCUCACCCCAUCAGAUAUACAGAUGGCAAAGGAGCAUAUGAAAAGGUGCUCCACAUCAUUUGUCAUCAGAGAAAUACAAAUUAAAACAAAAAUAAAGUAUCACCACACACCUUUUAGAAUGGCAAAAUCCAGAACACUGACAACAGCAAAUGCUGGUGGACAUGUGGAGCAACGGGAACUCUCAUUCAUUGCUGGUGGAAAUGCAAAAUGGUACAGCCACUUGGAAGGCAGUUUAUUCAAAACUAAACGUAUUCUUACCAUAAGAUCCAGCAAUCAUGCUCCCCGGUAUUUACCCAAAGGAGCUGGAAACUUAUGUCCACACAAAAACCUGCACAUAGAUGUUUACAGCAGCUUUAUUCAUAAUUCCCAAGACACAGCAGCAACUAAGAUGUCUUCCUAUAGUGAAGAGGUAAACUGUGAUACAUUCAUACAAUGGAAUAUAAUUCAGAAAUUUUAAAAAAUGAGCUAUCAAGCCACAAAAACAUAUGAAGGAAACAAAUAUAUACUGCUAAGUGAAAGAAGCCAGUCUGAAAAGGCUACAUACUGUAUGAUUCCAACUAUAUGACAUGCUGGAAAAGGCAAAACUGUGGAGACAGUAAAAAGAUCAGUAUUUGCCAGAGACUGGGCAGGGAGGGGAUGAAGAGGUGGAUCACAAAGGAUUUUUAGGGCAGUGAAACUAUCCUGUAUGCUACAGUUGUGGGUACAUAUCAUUAUACAUUUGUCAGAACUCAUAUAAUAUAUAGCACUAAGAGAGAACCAUUAAUGUAAACCAUGGACUUUGGGUGAUAAUGAUGGGGCAGGGUGAAUACAAGAAAUCUCUGUAUCUUCUGUUCACUUCUGCUGUGAAUCUAAAACUGCUCUAAAAAAAUAAAGUCUGUUUUAAAAAAUAAUAACAACACUAUAUGGUGAAGUAAAUCAUUUUAUCACCAUAAACACAGUCUAAAAAAUUGAAUAUAUUUUCAUACCAGUUCUCUAAGUUUUCAAAACAUUUGUUUGUGACAUCACAGUUCCAUAAACCCAUUCAUUCCUAGGUAGUAGUUUCAUUUUUUAGUAAUGCACCACUGGUAACCUACCUUAAGAAUAUACCUAUGCAUAUACCUAUAUUAAUUACUUUGAUAUUGGGCAAAACUACAAUAUCCUGGGUCCUAAGUUGCUCAUUUGUGAAACAAUAAAACUAACAACAAGAUUUUUGGACUUUAACUGAGAUCAAGUAUGUGGGAACAUUUGGUAUAUUAUUAACAACACACUCAGUGAUGUUUACAGAGCCAUACUAGGAACCCUGCAAGGAAUCACUAAAUUAAAAAGACCCAGAUUAGGGCUUCCCUGGUGGCGCAGUGGUUGAGAGUCCGCCUGCCAAUGCAGGGGACACAGGUUCGUGCCCCGGUCUGGGAGGAUCCCACAUGCCGCGGAGCUGCUGGGCCCGUGAGCCAUGGCCGCUGAGCCUGCGCGUCCGGAGCCUGUGCUCCGCAAUGGGAGAGGCCACAGCAGUGAGAGGCCCGCGUACCGCAAAAAAAAAAAAAAAAAAAAGACCC